AGGAUGAACGCUGGCGGCGUGCCUAACACAUGCAAGUCGAACGUCCUGUCUCGCAAGAGGCAGGGAGUGGCGGACGGGUGAGUACCACGUGGGUUAUCUACCGUGAGGUGAGGAAUACCGGCGAGAAAUCGCCGACAAGACCGCAUAGCCUCGGUGCAAGCCGAGGAAAGCUUUCUCGAGAGAGGGAGCGCCACACGAGGAGCCUGCGCCCGAUUAGCUAGCUGGUGGAGUAACGGUUCACCAGGGCGACGAUCGGUAGCUGGUCUGAGAGGACGAUCAGCCACACUGGGAUUGAGAACGGCCCAGACUCCUACGGGGGGCAGCAGUGAGGAAUUUCGUCAAUGGGGCAACCCUGAACGAGCAACGCCGCGUGCAGGAAGAAGGUUUUCGGAUCGUAAACUGUCUUUUCGUCGGGGAAGAGGAACGGACGGUACCCGAGGAAUCAGCCCGGCUAACUACGCGCCAGCAGCCGCGGUAA
rnacentral:rRNA from 1 species